rnacentral:rRNA from 1 species
UGGGGAAUAUUGGGCAAUGGGCGCAAGCCUGACCCAGCAACGCCGCGUGAAGGAAGAAGGCUUUCGGGUUGUAAACUUCUUUUAAGAGGGAAGAGCAGAAGACGGUACCUCUAGAAUAAGCCACGGCUAACUACGUGCCAGCAGCCGCGGUAAUACGUAGGUGGCAAGCGUUGUCCGGAUUUACUGGGUGUAAAGGGCGUGCAGCCGGGUCUGCAAGUCAGAAGUGAAAUCCAUGGGCUUAACCCAUGAACUGCUUUUGAAACUGUUUCCCUUGAGUAUCGGAGAGGCAGGCGGAAUUCCUAGUGUAGCGGUGAAAUGCGUAGAUAUUAGGAGGAACACCAGUGGCGAAGGCGGCCUGCUGGACGACAACUGACGCUGAGGCGCGAAAGCGUGGGGAG